GGAUGUGAUCAUACCAGCACUAAAGCACCGGAUCCCAUCAGAACUCCGAAGUUAAGCGUGCUUGGGCGAGAGUAGUACUAGGAUGGGUGGCCUCCUGGGAAGUCCUCGUGUUGCAUUCCC
rnacentral:rRNA from 1 species